UCCGUAAACGAGCAGCCGCUGCCCGCUAACGAGGCGGCCGCCGAUCACUGUAAAGCCCGUCCGACCCACACAGAGCCGCGGCAGCUAGAAGCGACACGCGCGGGUUGUCACACCGUGCGGUCGCCGAGCAGGUCUAUGCUCGAAGCGCCACUGCCCCCUAGCGGUGAGUGUGGUGAAGUGCGGGGGGUAAUUAAGACCGUGAGGGUUGUUAUGGAGGACUGAGACUGACGAAAUCAGAAACUAAUAAUGAAGUGGAUCGAUAAAUAAAGAAAACUCACAUCAAGAAUAAUAUUUAGAAGAAAUGUAGCCAUUAAUCGAUUCAUAAAAUAUGACUUAAAUUGACAUUUCUGCUCUAAUUUGACUCUGUUUAUUUAUCUUUGUAUUAAUUCAACUGUUUUUUCACUUUCUCAUUUCAUUGCCUAUUGUGUCUAUUUAUUUAUUGCUUUUUACAUUCAGUUAUUUAUGUAUCAAUGUAUGUAUAAGAUAAAUAAUACAUUUAUUUCCACUUAACUUAUUUAUUUCUGCAUUUUCCUUUAGUUUAAUCAGGCAAGGUCUUAAUGUCGUCUCAAGAACCUCACUGAUUAGCUUAAUCUUUUUGUUUUGUUUUUCAUACUGCAUAUUUCUUUGCAUUAGUUUGUAAAAUAGAAACACAGAUGCAACUUUUUUCUACAUUUUGUUAGUAAUGUAACAGCAGAUUUACCUCUAGUUCUAACCAUAUCAAUAUCAAUAAAUAUGCUAACACAGUU